rnacentral:rRNA from 1 species
UACGUAGGGUGCGAGCGUUAUUCGGAAUUACUGGGCGUAAAGCGUGCGCAGGCGGUUCGCCAAGUCAGGUGUGAAAUCCCCGGGCUUAACCUGGGAAUUGCGCUUGAAACUAGCGGGCUUGAGUGUGGCAGAGGGGGGUGGAAUUCCACGUGUAGCAGUGAAAUGCGUAGAGAUGUGGAGGAACACCGAUGGCGAAGGCAGCCCCCUGGGUCAAAACUGACGCUCAUGCACGAAAGCGUGGGGAGCAAACAGG